AGAAUGUGGCCUGACAUUGUCAGAACCUCCCAGGGAGCCAGUAGUGGGAUGCGGAACCCACUGGCAGUAAGCAGCUGACAGCCCAGAACGCGGUACAAGUUUAGGGAUAAUCCAAGAGGGGUAGUCAAUGUCCAAUCCGGGUCGAGGCAGGCAGCGAAGGUUCAAGGCGGAAGACAGUCCAGGGGUCAGUAGCAGGGAAGGAUACAAAGAAACAACAGGCAAUAGAAGGAUCUGCAGGGAGGCUAGGUGUUCACCAUAAGGUGGAAUAACUCAGCAAUGAACCAGAGCUCAGGCCAGGUCUUUAUAGCCAGGGAAGGUAGGAACCACCCUCCCCAGGAACCAAUGGCAGGCGAGGAAGGUGGAAGGUGUGUACUGGGAAUCUCCCUCAGCAAGGCUCACACCUGACAGCCGGAUAAUGCAGGAACUCUAUGCACCCGGAAAUGUGCGAGCAGC